rnacentral:rRNA from 3 species
UACAGAGGGGGCCAGCGUUAUUCGGAAUUAUUGGGCGUAAAGGGCGCGUAGGCGGCCAUGCGUGUCUUCCGUGAAAUCCCUCGGCUCAACCGAGGACGUGCGGAAGAAACUGCAAGGCUCGAGUCCGGAAGAGGGGGGCGGAAUUCCCAGUGUAGCGGUGAAAUGCGUAGAUAUUGGGAGGAACACCAGUGGCGAAGGCGGUCCCCUGGGCCGGAACUGACGCUGAGGCGCGAAAGCGUGGGUAGCAAACGGG